rnacentral:rRNA from 1 species
CCCGCAACGAGCGCAACCCUUAUCCUUUGUUGCCAGCGAUUCGGUCGGGAACUCAAAGGAGACUGCCGGUGAUAAACCGGAGGAAGGUGGGGAUGACGUCAAGUCAUCAUGGCCCUUACGGCCAGGGCUACACACGUGCUACAAUGGCGCAUACAAAGAGAAGCGACCUCGCGAGAGCAAGCGGACCUCAUAAAGUGCGUCGUAGUCCGGAUCGGAGUCUGCAACUCGACUCCGUGAAGUCGGAAUCGCUAGUAAUCGUGGAUCAGAACGCCACGGUGAAUACGUU